rnacentral:rRNA from 1 species
UACAGAGGUCCCGAGCGUUGUUCGGAUUCAUUGGGCGUAAAGGGCGCGUAGGCGGCGCGGAUAGUCGGCGGUGAAAGCCCGGAGCUCAACUCCGGGUCGGCCGUCGAUACUUCCGGGCUUGAGCACUGUAGAGGCAGAUGGAAUUCCAGGUGUAGCGGUGGAAUGCGUAGAGAUCCGGAAGAACACCGGUGGCGAAGGCGGUCUGCUGGGCAGUUGCUGACGCUGAUGCGCGACAGCGUGGGGAGCAAACAGG